rnacentral:rRNA from 1 species
GACGUAGGGGGCAAGCGUUGUCCGGAUUUACUGGGCGUAAAGCGCGCGUAGGCGGCUUGUUAAGUGUAGAGUGAAAGCUCCGGGCUCAACCCGGAAAUUGCUCUGCAUACUGGCAGGCUGGAGGGACACAGAGGUCUGUGGAAUUCCUGGUGUAACGGUGAAAUGUGUUGAUAUCAGGAGGAACACCCAUGGCGAAGGCAGCAGACUGGGCGUUUCCUGACGCUGAGGCGCGAAAGCGUGGGUAGCAAACAGG